AGUGAUAUAGCUCAGUGGCGUAGCACCUGCCUGGCAAGCACAAGGUCCUAGAUUCAAUUUCCAGUACAAUUA
rnacentral:tRNA from 1 species